rnacentral:misc_RNA from 1 species
AGUUUAGCUUUCUUCGCAACCAGAAGCAGUUUGAUUUUAUAUAUCUCAAAAUAUACAGGCACCAUGUCUUACAGAGACUUGAGAAAUUUCACGGAGAUGAUGAGGGCCUUGGGAUAUCCAAGACUAAUCUCCAUGGAAAAUUUUAGAAACCCCAACUUUCCUUUAGUUGCAGAAGUAAUGCGAUGGCUUGUCAAAAGAUAUGACCCGAAUGCUGACAUUCAUUGUGACAUCGACACAGACCAAGACAGAGUCAUUUUUAUAAAAACUGUGGCAGAAUUCAUGCACACAAAAGCCCAUAUCAAGAUGAACACAAAGAAGUUAUACCAGUCUGAUGGGUAUGCUGUUAAGGAGAUGCUGAAGGUUACCUCCAUGUUGUACAAUGCCAUGAAGACCAACUCAUCCAGCCAGUCAGAGACUGACAAUGAAGACGACUCAUCACAUCUUUCAUUUGAUAUCUCAUCAAAGAUUAAUGAUUUAAAAGAAGCAAGAAGACUGGCAUCAGAAAUAACCACCAAAGGAGCAACUUUAUAUGAUCUUUUAGGCAAAGAAGUGGACCUAAGGGAGCAAAGAUCCAUUGUGAUAGCAAAGUCACUGGAAAUCAAUGAAGUUGAGGGUGGAAUCACUGGUUCAAUCAAAGGAGUUGAGAAUGAAAUAAAGAAAUACCUUAUGCAGUUGGACAAUGUGGCAUCAGAUGAAGCUAAUUUAGAAGCUAAAAUAGAGAAAAAGAAAAAUGAACUUGAGAGAAAUAACAAGCGAUUACAAACUUUACAAAGUGUCAGACCAGCCUAUAUGGAUGAGUAUGAGAAGCUAGAGGAAGACCUUCAGAAGUUGUAUGAAGUGUACAUGGAGAAAUUCAGGAACCUGACCUAUCUAGAAGCCCAGCAGGAAGAGUAUAACCGGGCAGAGCAAGAUAAGUUUGAGGUAAAGGGUCACCACAUUCAAGGUCUCUAAUUCAAAGUCACAACAGAGAGUUCAAAGUCACUGAUGAUACAAAGUCACCACAGAUAGUUAAAGGUCACUGAUACAAAGUCACCACAGAGAGUUCAAGGUCACAGAUACAAGCAAAAACACCGUGGAAUGAAUUCAAGAUCAUUAAAACAAAUAAAGACACACUUUCCCACAAAGUUGAAGGUUACUGAUAUAAACAAAGUUACCAAAUAAAGUCAGGAACCUUUGAAAUUAAUUUGCAAGAUCUGAGAGAGUUCCCAGUAAAGUAAUAUUUUACCUUUAGACUAAUGAAGAACACUAAAGGGAUUACUAUAGCUAAUUAUAAACUGAAGCUUGAUAUAAUACUCGUACAGUUGAUAUCUUAAAAUUUUGAAGGAGACAGAGGAAAAAUUGAAACAGAUGGCAGAUCGCUUGAAGAGUGAGGAACACAACCGCCAGAAGAUCAUGCCUGAUGACAUCGAUCUUUCUCGUAAUUCUGACGAUGAUUUGGACGAGUCUGAUGAUGAGGAUGAGGUGCAACAGCCAACCAGGCAGCGACCUGACGCAGCAGCUGGGGAAAGGAAGCAGAGAGUGAUGGGAUCAAUGCUUGCUGAUGCUAGUGACGAUGAUUCUGAAAUAGACCUUGAUGAUGAUGAUGAGGAUGAUGAUGAUGACGACGACGACGAUGAUGAUGACAAUGACAAUGUGAAUGAAGACGAUGAGAUUGAUGACAAUGACUUUUAAAGCAAAUCUGUGAUAUAAUAUGAGACCUGUUUAUUUAUUGAAAGACUGUAACUAUAUGUUUAUUAGGAAAAUUAUGGUUGUCAAAACUGUAUUUGUGAGAUUAAAAAAAGUAUC